GUGCCAGCAGCCGCGGUAAUUCCAGCUCCAAUAGCGUAUAUUAAAGUUGCUGCAGUUAAAAAGCUCGUAGUUGGAUUUCUGGCUCGAUAUAUUUUGCCGGCCACGGUUUCGUGUGUUAGUGCUUGAUAUUCUGGCCAUCCUUCCAAUGGCUAUUCAUCCUUCUUCAUUGAGGUGGUGAGUGGUAUUGGAUCUUUUACUUUGAAAAAAUUAGAGUGUUUCAAGCAGGCUUUAUGCUAUGAAUACAUUAGCAUGGAAUAAUAAUUUAGGACUUCGGUUCUAUUUUGUUGGUUUCUAGGACUGAAGUAAUGAUUGAUAGGGAUAGUUGGGGGUGCUAGUAUUCAGCGGCCAGAGGUGAAAUUCUCGGAUUCGCUGAAGACUAACUUAUGCGAAAGCAUUCACCAAGGAUGUCUUCUUUAAUCAAGAACGAAAGUUGGGGGAUCGAAGACGAUCAGAUACCGUCGUAGUCUCAACCAUAAACUAUGCCGACUAGGGAUGAGUGGAACGUUGCAUUUUCGACUUCAUUCGCACCUUAUGAGAAAUC
rnacentral:rRNA from 1 species